CUUUCCAGCCCAGAGAUCUAUGGCCCGACCUCUCUGAUCUCAUGCGCAUAGCUGUCAAAUAGCGCAGCAGGGGUCCUGGCAGCCUUUUGCAGCAAUCUGGCAUGGUUUGAGCCUACCCAGUCUUGGAAAGGCCCCAAUCUAGCAGCUUACAAGCCAUGCCUUGCCCGGAAAGAGGCCUCAAGUCCUGUAACUUUGCAUGUGAGCCCCAAACAUCAUCCUUUGGGUAUUGAUCAAGUCUCAAAGCACCAUCAGGGAUUCUUGAUACAAACCUGGUCCCAAAGAGCCCCUAAAUGAGGGCUUCCAGAGGAUUCCAGCAUCUCAACAAGCUCAAACAAAGAAUGACUGUUCUGCUGAUGUGCAGAGGGGCCUGAACACCUCUUAUGAGGUCAGCGCAAAUCAUAAGAAGUCUAUUGACAGAUUUGGCUGUGAUUUUGCCUUGGUAGAAGGGCCAGAUGGCAGGGGAAAAUGCAAUAUCUCAGCCAUCAGCAGUCUGAUUGCGCUGAAGCUUUGCACACACCUGCCCCUUGAUGGCCUCGGGUUGCCUGCACAGCCUGGCGGCGAUCCGGUGCUUGUUGGCUGUCGGUCUUCCCAUAUUUGGCCUUAGAUGGGAUUACCACGCAUUUUAGCUCGUUCGGAUUUCGCUGGAUCUUUGAGGGCACCUCGCAAAGGCCCGGGGGUUGCAGAGUUUGAGCGGGAUCUGACGUUUUAAGGUAGCUUAUAUAGAUUUAAUGCUUUUUUUGGCAUUUUUCGAGUUUAAAUGCGCGCCGGAGGUGCCAGCUUUGAAUUUUGGGCUGUUGUCUCUUUAGUCGCCGUUAGUGGUGGAAUGCUUGUUAGUUUCUUUCUGGCUUUUGCUAGUAGUUAUGGGUGUGCUGCUGUCUGAGGCUGAUUUUGCAAGUCGGAGCGUGUUGUUUGGCUGGGGUGUUUCUUUUGUUUUGAGGCGGCAGGGGCAUUCGGCACGUCUGCUUUUGUAUUUUGUGAUUUUUGUAGGGGUAGGUGCCAGCAAGACAUAUGACGGUGGAGGCCCCAUUUUUUUAAAUUUAUGGCCGGCGUGCUAUGUAAUUUUAGAAUUUUCGGCGACCCCUUUGUCUUGGUACUCUGAAGGGUAAAUUUUGGAGCUAAUGAAAAAACGGAGGUUUAAAGGUUGCUGGUGGCGCUCAAACAGUCAUGCCCUUAGGCAUACCUCUGGUCUCCUGUGCGUUUGAAUUUUCGCUUAUCACUGGCUCUGCAAUUCACCUUUGCUUAUGCAAUUUUGGUUCUUCAUCGAUAGGAGAACCUAGGGGUCCUUUUUCUACAGUUGUUUUUAACUUUCACUUGCUUCGGUUUUUGUCCUCUUGGUUGAUGUCUUUGCGUUUGGUGUCUCAGCUUCUUAGUUGGAGGUGUUUGGUUUGUGAUCGCAGUUCUAGGUCUGGUGAACGGGGCCUUGAGGCUGGUAGUUUUAAACUUUGGUCUUUCUGCCGUUGGCUACAGCCAUCUGUUAGGAUUUUUACUUCCUGUAAGGGAGGGGGUUUGUUCAGGUUUUCAUUUCUGGUGCGGUUGGGAGCUCCUGAAUUCCUCCCAGGUUCUGAUUCAGCUGUUGGAUCGGUAGUUUCUUCGGGCGGUUUGUCUGUGGUGAUGUACGUGAUCAACGUAAGCUGGGCUAGGCUUAGUAGGAAUUGUCUUCUGAGGACUGAUUGCAAUGCUCUGUCCCAGGGGCCUGUUUCUGAAGAUUACCCAACCUUUCCGUGUAGGAGCUUACUGGCUGGCUUUGUCAGUUUAGCGCGCGUGGGUUUUCGAACAUGUAAGGGCCUCACAGACGUGUUUUUGGCUCGUUCUUGGUUGAUCUUCCAGUUCAUAGUUGCUCUAAGCUUAGCCAUUCCUGUUGUUAGGUUCCAACGUGAAGGUCGACUGGUUCAUUUAUCAGUUCUAGUUUUUUGGUUAUGGGAAUUAGCUAGAUGGAUCACUUGGUCAACUAAGAACUGCCUUGUACCCCGACUCGUAAGGUCAUUUAUUCGCUUCAAUCCAAUCCUUCUUGUUUGUGGAGCUGGUGAGUUUCCCCGUGUUGGCUAGUUCCGGCGAUGCUUCAUUCCUGUUUGUGCCCUUUCAAUUUGUUUACGUUAGUUGCUACCAUGGUUGUCCCGGAACGGGAAUGGUUUGAUUCCGGAGAGGUGCCGAUCGGGCCAUAUUCAAUUAAGGCGCCGGCCGAUUCCUAUCUGGCAUGGUUUGCUGUUAAGACUAUAACGGUACUGGUCUUUUUCGGUCUUGUAAUUGGUUUGAUUAAUUUUAAAUCCUUGGCGAGUGCUUUUGGAGAAGUUUGUUUCCAGCAUCCGCGAAUUUCACCUCUAGCUUGU
rnacentral:rRNA from 1 species